CGUAACACGUGAGGAACUUGUCCCGGUCUCUGGGAUAACAGUUGGAAACGACUGCUAAUACCGGAUGACGUCGGAACUUCGCAUGGAGUACUGACGAAAGGGUUACUGGAUCGGGAGAGCCUCGCGGCCUAUCAGCUUGUUGGUGGGGUAAUGGCCUACCAAGGCAUCGACGGGUAGCUGGUCUGAGAGGAUGAUCAGCCACACUGGGACUGAGACACGGCCCAG
rnacentral:rRNA from 1 species